GACGAACGCUGGCGGCGUGCUUAACACAUGCAAGUCGAGCGGUAAGGCCCUUUCGGGGGUACACGAGCGGCGAACGGGUGAGUAACACGUGGGUGACCUGCCCUCAGCUCUGGGAUAAGCCUGGGAAACCGGGUCUAAUACUGGAUAUGACUCCAUGACGCAUGUUGUGGGGUGGGAAGCCUUGUGCGGCUGAGGAUGGGCCCGCGGCCUAUCAGCUUGUUGGUGGGGUGANGGCCUACCAAGGCGACGACGGGUAGCCGGCCUGAGAGGGCGACCGGCCACACUGGGACUGAGACACGGCCCAGACUCCUACGGGAGGCAGCAGUGGGGAAUAUUGCGCAAUGGGCGAAAGCCUGAUCCAGCGACGCCGCGUGGAUGAAGAAGGCCUGCGGGUUGUAAAGCCCUCUCAGUGGGGAAGAAAGCCUCGACCUAACACGUCGGGGUCUUGACGUAACCCAUAGAAGAAGCACCGGCUAACUCUGUGCCAGCCGCCGC
rnacentral:rRNA from 1 species